AAGUCUUUAAGUUAAUAUAAACUAUAUGCCUUCAAAGUAUAAAAUUAAUAAGUCUUAAAUUAAUUCUUUAAACUUG
rnacentral:tRNA from 1 species